AGCCCACAGAGUUCUGCAAGAAAUGCCUCUUCAGGCCAAGGAGAGGCAGUAGAGAAUAACUGGAGACGUGAGUGCUGAUUUUCAUAAUUUGGGUGUGUUCUGUACAUUUUUAAUCCGUUUGCAACAAAUUGCAAUGCUUUCUCGGGAUGGUUUCCUGACAUUUUUACAUUAAUAUUAAUUGGCCCCCACGAUUAAAUCCGGGAGGGGACUGUGGAUCUGUCUCCAUCCUUUCGUUUAUAUGUUCAUUUUAAUCACAUGCGAUUUCUCAGAAAGCACUGGGCCGAUUUGAACGAAACUUGGGUGAAUAAUGAGUCUUGCCAUAGAGAGCAGGCAUUUACAAAAUUACUCUGAUUGGCCAGAUGGUGGCUAUAAUAAGAGAUUGAAAAUGCACAUUUCGAAGGUCACGCUCCUCACCCUGUUUGACCUAAAGUCAUGAAAUUCGGUACAUAGGCCCCUCUCCUCACAAGGAACACAUUUGCAUCAGUGACCCAUAAAGUCCGCCACGAUGGAUUUUCCGCAAUUUAGACUUUUGUGAAAAACACUUAAAAUGCUACUCUGCUGGCACCGAAUGGCCGAUCUGCACAAAACUUUACAUAUGGCAUUUAUUGACAAAUGUCUCUUAAUGCAAUAUUUUCCAGACUAGUACCGAAAACAACAUGGCCACUAUUGACCAAUAAACGUUCACCUAUGCAUGGCCUGGCACUUAAAUGCAUAUACAUCAGUCAAGGAUAUUCAUAUUGUAACACAAUUUGUUGCCCAUGCUGCAAACACUGUCAAGACUCAACAUAUGCAAGAACAUAGUGAUGGGUCGUCGCGAACGAGUCGGCUGUUGUAGGUGAGCGUUGGACACAAUUUGUUGCCCAUGCUGCAAACACUGUCAAGACUCAACAUAUGCAAGAACAUAGUGAUGGGUCGUCGCGAACGAGUCGGCUGUUGUAGGUGAGCGUUGGGAGCACGCUCGCACAUCAGAAGAGCCGAAACUAUUUAUAAAAAUAUACAAAAAAUAAGUUAUGAAUAAUCAAAAGAUUUAAAUGAAUAGAAUUAACUAAUUCAAAGAACGAAAAUAUAAAUAAAAUAAUAUAGGCCUAAAUUCUCAAGAGCACACACAUUCGUUAUGUCUGCUCAGACUAACAGCCUCACCUGUUGUUCCUGUCAAUCAGACACGCAGUGUCAACCAAUGAACCAAAGAUGCGCGAGGGAGGGCCGAGCCAACUCACUCACAGUCACACACUUAGAAGCCGAGGAGAGAGAGUAAGGAAGGACAGCUGUAAAAACAACAGCUGGAAAAUGAGUCGGAAGCACAGUAGCAUUUUAAUAAUGUAGACAAUGUUAGAGCAUAGUGUAGAAUUUGCCAAAACAAAAUCUCAUAUAAAGCUGGUUCUACGCACAACCUACACCGGCAUAUGCGAACUGUGCACCCAACUGUUAAGCUAGCUGUAGAGGAUCUUCAAGAAACUAGCGGGCCUGCUAGUGAUAGUGGCGGAGCCAACACCUCCACACGGGGAGAUGUAUCCACUCAGUCAAGUAGGCCUACUCCACGACACACAGCAACGCAGUCUUCUAUGGACCAGUUUAUGCCAAUGUCUGUAGCAAAACAAGGCCACAUUUAUAUUGCAUUGGCUAAAAUAAUUGCCACCGAUUUCCAGACAUUUUCGAAUGUGGAGGACAGAGGUUUUUAGAAAUUAUAGCAAUAGUCUAAAUCGAAUGAAUACAAUUCCAAGCCGGAAAACCCAUUCAAAAUCACUUGUUCCACAACUUUACGAGAGCACACAGGCGUCAGUGCGGGAAAGAGUCCAAAAAGCUACUGCAGUUUGCCUUACCAUUAACCACUUCUUACAUGUUGGUUACAUGUCACUUAAUUAAAGAUUUUUCGAUAUCUAGCUGUCUUCUGGACUGCUUUGAGUUCAGCGACAGACACACCUCAGAGAACUGUUGAGAGGAACUGAGGAACUGUUUAGAGUGUCCAGGGAAUGGCAAGUAUAUGGAAAAGUGGUAUAUUGUGUUAGCGACAAUGCAGCUAACAUAACCAAAGCCAUGAACAUUUUUAAAUGUACCCAUCAUCCAUGUCUUGCCCACACAAUCAGCCUGAUUGUAAGAGAUGCUCUGAAGGUGACGGACAAAGUGUGGACAAAGUGAAAGCAUCUGUGGAAUACUUCCACUGGAGCACAGUAGGUACUGAAAAACUCAAGUUUACACAAAGCCAGAUGGGAUUGCCUGAGCUGAGGCCUAAACCAGACUGCACAACAAGGUGGAAUUCAACAUUUUAUAUGUUGAAGCGGUUUCUUGAGUCAAAGGAUGCCAUCAUCUCUACCCUGGCCAUUGUCAGGGUAGAGAUGUGCACUUGUUGAUGCUCUGACCCAAGAGGAAAGGGAUGUGGUGGAGUCCUGGAACCCUUUGGCAGGUCACUGUGGAGAUCAGUGGAGAGAGCUAUAUGACAGCCUGAAAAAUGAUACUCCUGUGUAAGGGUCUGCAGCGAAUCACAGCCAACCGCUAGAGAGAAGCAAAUGUAACCACAGGACAUGUGACAGUGUUGAUGGACACCCUGUGUUCAUCAAUGGACAGGAAGUUCCACAGAAUGGAAUAUAAUCACGUGCUAUCAGAAACCACUGCACUUCACCCCAGGUUUAAGAAGUUAGCUUUCAGUGAUGCCAGAGCAAUUGAUGAGGUUCUUCAAAGAAUAACCUCAGCAGCAGGGAGGGACAGCCUCAGCAGUCAGCUGGCUCAGGCGCCAGGGCAACAGGAAGAAGAGGGAUCAGAUGGAGCAGAAGCACCAGCAGUAGUACCACAAACGUCUGCUGUUUGGAUGUUGUUUGACGAAAGAGCAACUGGGGAUGUAGCACGAAGGAAUCCCUCAGCAGAUGCCAUUUUAUAAAUUUUUAUUUCACCUUUAUUUAACCAGGUAGGCCAGUUGAGAACAAGUUCUCAUUUACAACUGCGACCUGGCCAAGAUAAAGCAAAGCAGUGCGACAAAAACAACAACACAAGAGUUACACAUAAACAAACGUACAGUCAAUAACACAAUAGAAAAUUGUACAGAGUGUGCAAAUGUAGAAGAGUAGGGAGGUGUCACGCCCUGGCCAUAGAGAGGCUUUUAUUCUCUAUUUUGGUUAGGCCAGGGUGUGACUAAGGGUGGGCAUUCUAGUUUCUUUAUUUCUAUGUUCUCUAUUUCUUUGUGUUUGGCCGGGUGUGGUUCUCAAUCAGAGGCAGCUGUCUAUCGUUGUCUCUGAUUGAGAACCAUACUUAGGUAGCUCUUUUUCCAUCUGUCUUUGUGGGAAGUUGACUUUGUUUAGGGCACAUAGCCUUUGAGGAGCAUGGGUUGUGGUUGUAGUGUUAUUUGUUUUGUUCUGCGUCAUUUUGAUUAAUAAACGAAAAUGUACACUCAC